rnacentral:rRNA from 1 species
GUGAGGAAUAUUGCGCAAUGGAGGCAACUCUGACGCAGCCAUGCCGCGUGCAGGAAGAUGGCGCUACGCGUUGUAAACUGCUUUUAACCGGGAAGAAACCCCAGGACGUGUCCUGGGUUGACGGUACCGGAGGAAUAAGCACCGGCUAACUUCGUGCCAGCAGCCGCGGUAAUACGAAGGGUGCAAGCGUUAUCCGGAUUCAUUGGGUUUAAAGGGUGCGUAGGCGGAGCGUUAAGUCAGUGGUGAAAUCCUGCAGCUUAACUGUAGACUUGCCAUUGAUACUGGCGCUCUUGAGUGCGCUUGAAGUGGGCGGAAUGUGCCGUGUAGCGGUGAAAUGCUUAGAUAUGGCACAGAACACCAAUUGCGAAGGCAGCUCACUAAGGCGAUACUGACGCUGAGGCACGAAAGCGUGGGGAUCGAACAGGAUUAGAUACCCUGGUAGUCC